GCCAAAUUGGUCUGGACACGCUCUGCCCAUCUGAUGGGACAGCAACUCUGCAAACAGAACCAGGAUACAGUUUCUGUCUUUGUCCUGUCAGCCUUGCGUCUUCAGUGUUGAAUUCAUUCUUGGCACAUUCUUCCCUUCUAGUCACAAGAUGGCUGCCAGUGGUUCUCCUAG